rnacentral:rRNA from 1 species
UACGUAGGCAGCGAGCGUUGUUCGGAGUUACUGGGCGUAAAGGGUGUGUAGGCGGUUGCUUAAGUUUGGUGUGAAAUCUCCCGGCUCAACUGGGAGGGUGCGCCGAAUACUGAGUGACUCGAGUGCGGGAGAGGAGAGUGGAAUUCCUGGUGUAGCGGUGAAAUGCGUAGAUAUCAGGAGGAACACCGGUGGUGUAGACGGCUCUCUGGACCGUAACUGACGCUGAGACACGAAAGCAUGGGUAGCAAACAGG